UACGUAGGGUGCAGGCGUUAAUCGGAAUUACUGGGCGUAAAGCGUGCGCAGGCGGUUUCUUAAGUCAGAUGUGAAAGCCCCGGGCUUAACCUGGGAACUGCGUUUGAAACUGGGAGACUUGAGUGUGGCAGAGGGGGGUGGAAUUCCACGUGUAGCAGUGAAAUGCGUAGAUAUGUGGAGGAACACCGAUGGCGAAGGCAGCCCCCUGGGUUAACACUGACGCUCAUGCACGAAAGCGUGGGGAGCAGACAGG
rnacentral:rRNA from 1 species